UUAUUGCUACAAAUACCACUGAAGCAAAAGUACUGUGUAUGCAGAUUACUUGUUGUAGUGUAGAAAAUGUAGUAUCAGUAGAAAUUCCUAAAACUCACAAAUACAGAUUAAAAAAUUUCCAGACUUGUGACUGAUCCAUAUGUCUUGAAAGAGUAUUAGGCAAUAAACUUCCCUUUUCAAAGAGAAAUUAUUUAACUUCCAAUUCUGUGUUCUUUAAUUAGGAACAGUUUUUUUCAAGGGUAAAUAUGAUCAAAUAGAAACUUCAGACAAAACCUCAUUAUUCUCAGAUAUGACUUUGGUGUUCUGCUGUAACUUCUAAAGGUGCUCCAGAAGUCAAGUUCAUGGGCGUGGAUUGUGAACAGCAGGGUGGCCCUGUGUGAGUGGCUGUGGAGGACAGAGUGACGUAGAAGAAUCUGAGUGAGUGUGAGGAGCGGGGAGUCAUGUGGGCUAUGAAUCUGCGAACGGAAGUUUGAUCAGUUACUGGAACCAUUUUACGGCUGUUGUAACGUCUUCUCCUUUCCUUUGAAAAGCUGUUAUGAAUGAAUGGUGCCACCUGCAAACCCUGACCCGAGAACCAAGUGUAUGUGAUGCUGCCGUAGCUUUUGGUACUGACUCUGCAGCUUUUCUUUAUAGUAUCUCGAAGUCAUCGCAGUUCUUCUGUGUGGACUCCACAGCAGAGUUAGAGGAUGAAAUGGCAAGUGGAUGUUGUCUUCCUCCUCCCCGUUCACUUCCUCCCCACUGCCUUGCUUUGCUUCAGUCUCAAGAUGAUUCACCUUUUCUUUUCUUUUUGUCUUGACUGUGGAAUCUCAUCAGAGACUUCGAAGUGGGCAUGGUGAGAGGGGCCUGGGGUGUGGUGCAGGGGCAAGUGCUCUGUCCUCCCAUAGUCGCCCUCAGGACUGCCUUGUGAAGUGGAAAAUGCACAGCUGCAUUUGACAGAUAAGGAGCGCCACUCAGAAAGCUGCAGACGUUUGCAGGCAAUGGUGGGCAGAUGAACUGGCCAGUACAAUCACAGUCCCAUUUUUUUUAGGUUUUAAACCUUUGUUUUAGGUUUUCAGUUUCUUUUUCAUUCAUGUACCUUACGAUUAUAUUACUUGGUUUAUAAAGAUUCAUGACAGGUAUACUCAUUCUAGAUAUAACCUUUGUUGUUAACAAAUGCCUCCAGUCCCACAGUUCUGUAAGAAUUCUCUGUCUAGACUUGGUACUGAUUUAAUGAUUUUCCCUGACACACAACAUGCUGAGCUCCUGAUGAAGUGGAUUUAAAGGCAUAAAGGGAUGUGUGAGAAGGCUCGAGAAGUGGCUGCAUCUUGCAAGGGGACUAUCAGACAGGUGGGUUCCAGCCUGUUGAGGGAGGAAUGGCCACAUUCCAUAGGGACUGCUUUAGCGGGCCGGGAAGCCGCAGUGAGAGCUGCAGGCCAGGCUCCCUGUCUCCAAGUCCUCCCAUGAAUUCAUGGGUCAGUGCCCCCAUUUUCAUAGAAGAGACCUGACGAGGCUGUGGUGUGAUUGUAUAAAAGCUUGCAUUGUUUCAUUACUUGACCUGACAAUGUGUCAUUAUCUCCAAAUUGUUCAGAGAAGCAGCUGCUUCAUUCAGGUCCGUUUUAUCAUUCUGUGGUUGCAACAUGGUCUCCUGAGCCAGCGAUGGGCGUGCCACUCCAUGGCCACUUUUUAGUAAGAAAAUUACCUGAUUUUCUGUUAACUGCCACAAGAUGCUCCGUACCACCCCUCAGUUCUUACGGGGUUUUCACCACCCUCAUCCUCAGUGAAGUUGGAUGACCAUUCCUGCCUCAUCCCACCGAUUUUCCUGAGUAUCUGUUGCCUACAACUAAUACUCAUUCCUGCAUCAACAAAAUACUGCACUUGGUUGCAAAGAAUAGAAGUGGACUCUGCCAACAUAAACAGGAAAGGUGUUUCCGGGAGUGUAUGGGAUGGCUCACGGAUAUGGAGAAAGCCCAGGAAGAGGUGUUGGGCACAGCCCUAGGCACGACCUUUCCUGGGCUCUUCCCAUCACUGAGUGAUCCGCGUGGGACUUUCUGUCCAGAUCCAGAGUUUGAGGUUGCGGAAUUGGACUGCCUAGCCUCUGACACCUGCCGUGCUCUGCCUGUCACAGUAUGGGGAGAGAAAUGUCAGCUUGUGGAAAAUUGAGGUUCAGUGAUUCAGUUUCCCUCUGCUAUCUUACGAUAAAAGUGCUCGCUCAUUGUUUAAAGCAUUCUCCAAACUAGUCUCCACAUUUUGUGAUGGUAUAUGUCACUAAAAAGUGUUAAAGUGCCCAGUCGGUGCCGCACCCCACCCUGCAGCCGUGGCCGCCUACAAGCUGGUGCUGACGGGCACGGCGAGAGCGCAUAACCUGGAGAACCACUUCAGUGGCUGGUGCGCCGCCGACCUGAGCCCGGCGGGCCACAAGGAGGCGAAGCGCGGCGGGCAGGUGCUGUGAGAUGCUGGCUGUGAGUUUGACAUCUGCUUCACCUCAGUGCAGAAGAGAGCGAUCCGGACCCUCUGGACAGUGCUGGGUGCCAUGGAUCAGAUGUGGCUGCCAGCAGUGAGGACUUGGCGCCUCCGUGAGUGGCACUGUGGGGGGUCUAACCGGUCUCAAUAAAGCAGAAACUGCUGCAAAGCAUGGUGAGGCCCAGGUGAAGAUCUGGAGGCGCUCCUGUUAUGUCCCAUCACCUCUGAUGGAGCCCGACCAUCCUUUCUACAGCAACAUCAGUGAGGAUCGCAGGUAUGCAGACCUCACAGAAGAUCAGCCACCCUCCUGUGAGAGUCUGAAGGCCACAAUUGCUAGAGCUCUGCCCUUCUGGAAUGAAGCAAUAGUUCCCCAGAUCAAGGAGGGGAAAUGGGUACUGAUUGCAGCCCAUGGCAACAGCCUCUGGGGCAUUGUCAAGCGUCUGGAGGGUCUCUCUGAAGAGGUUAUCAUGGAGCUGAACCUGCCAACCAGUAUUCCAAUUGUCUAUGAAUUAGACAAGAACUUGAAACCCAUCAAGCCCAUGCAGUUCCUGGGGGAUGAGGAGACCGUGUGUAAAGCCAUGGAAGCUGUGGCUGCCCAGGAGAAGGCUAAGAAGUGAAGGCCAGUGGGCAGGCUACUGUCCCCAGGAGCACCCUCCCUGCCUGUUGCACCCCUCUACCCCUCCCUCCUGCACAUGUCACGCUGACCACAUCUGUAGACAUCUUGAGUUGUAGCUGUAGAUGGGGACUGGUGGCUCCCAUUUUCAUUUUAGCCAGUUUGUCUCCUGUACCCACUCCCUUCACACAUUCUAGUCAGAAUUGCACUUCUAGGGCACAGGUUCUCAGUCCAAGCUGUAGAAAGGCUCCCCUUAUCCAAGAGAGUUGAAAGGUAGUGAUGGGCUUUUGCAAGUGCUUUGU